CUGCAGACGGACGACAGAAUAGCGCUGAAAGAAAUAACGCGGCAGCUCCACCUGGAAAACGUCGUUGGUGACAAAGUGUUUGGAAGCUUUGCAGAGAAUCUGGCUUUUUUGCUGGAGGCUUUAAAGAAAGGCGAUCGCAGCAGCAGUCGCCCCGUUUUGUUCGUCCUGGAUGAGUUCGACCUGUUCGCCCACCACAAGAACCAGACUCUGCUCUACAACCUGUUCGACGUGUCCCAGUCCGCCCAGGCUCCCGUCGCUGUGGUCGGCGUCACCUGCA